rnacentral:miRNA from 1 species
CCUCCAGCUGUUUUGGGACUACAAUUCCCACCAGCCCUGACCACUGGUCCUGUUAGCUAGGGAUGAUGGGAGUUGUAGUCCCAAAACAUCUGGAGG